rnacentral:misc_RNA from 1 species
CGUGUCAUUAUUACAGUAGACCCUUGAACGACACGGAGAUUGGAAAUAUUGACUAAUUGUGUGAUUAAUAUUUAUGCAAAUUCAUAUUUUCACGAGUGUGUUUAAAUAAAUGGAAAACGAUAAACCAGUGCCAUUUGCGAAGUUACAUUUUUAUGAAUUUCUUCGGAUAACCGCUUAUCUUAGAACUCGAGUCUUUUAUCAUUUAUUGUACACAAGCACAACAUCGUUUGUACGAAAUCGAUUCGUUUAUUUUGAGGGAGCUCUAACUUACGACAAAUGAAUAAUAAAAAUAAUACCAAAUGAAGAAAGCUGGGGACACUUUGAGAAAACUUAUUUCAGAAAAUUCUUAUUUUAGCUUUACGAAUCAAUCCUCAAAUUUUCUUAUACCUGUAGCCGAACACCUUGCACACGAAGAAUGCUUCAUACUCCAUAAAAAUAGGAAUGCAAAAGCAUUCCUGUUACAAAAAUAAUAUUUGUUCUGUGUUUUGUAAUAUAAAUGAAUUUAUAGAUAAAUUUAAAUAAACUGUAAAACAUAAUAAUUUGGUGCCAUUAUUUCACAUCUUAUC